rnacentral:lncRNA from 1 species
GAGAUCAAAGCCUUGAAGCUUUAUUAACUACUUAGUGAAGGUCAUUGAUGAGUGGUGAAGAUGUUUGAUUACGGCUGGAUCCUUGUGGAGCUGGGACAGUCUAUAUCAGAUUAAUUUUCAGUGGGGCGUUGGAUUCGGCGGCUGUUUUUGGUAACAAUGUGCUAGAAUUAUCACACACUGUAAUUUUGUUUGUACUAAAUUUACAGGUUUUGCUCAGCUAGAACUUGAAUUACAUAGUCACUGCACAUUGAGAAUGUCUCAACUAUUGUUACACUGAACUGUUAGCAAUACUUGUUGGCAAAUGGUUAGAGAAAUAAAUUUCUGUGUUAGUUUUGUUUUUUAAGUAAUCAAUGUACAACUCCUCCAAAAGUAAUCAUGUACAAUGAAUUUUUGAAUUCUUUAUUUCGCAUGAAUGGUCUCUAUUCC